GGCCGUUGAUCGUGCUUGAUCCAACGGCCAGGAUCAAAUCCAUCCCAUGGUAUAUAACCCCAAUCCCUUACCCCACGCCUCCCUAAGCCAUACCCCCCCCCCCUUAGCCAUCGUCUCUCUCAGAGACGACCCUGAACCCUCCGCCCAUGACUACCGUGACUCCGCCUACCGGAAAUCGCCUUACGGCGGUUCCGGUAGGCCAAACUCCGCCACUUUUACACCACGAACUCACCUCGACCUCCCCUUUCCACCCAUCACCAUAGCUCCCCUCGAAUCAGGCCCCAACUCUUCGAAUCUUAAAUGGAAGGUUGGCCGGAAAACCUCACCUUCUCCGAUGGCCGCCAAAUUAACACCCUAAGACCUUCUAACCACCCCCAACCCAAAUCCUUAAACCGUUUGGCUCGAAUCUUUCUGGAACUUCUCGAAUCUUCAUUUGAAGAUUCGAGCCAAACAUGAACCUAUCCCAACCGAGCCCAAAUUCAUACCCUGCACCCCCUGACCUCCCUAAUCACCAAACCACCAUUGGUUUGGUUCGAAUCAGACCAGAACCAUUCGAACCCCAACUCAGACCCCCAAGUACCCUAGAAAUUCCAAAUUGGGGUUUCAUCCGAAAUUGAAGAAAUUGGGGUGUCAAUCGACUUUAGUCGAGUGUUCUCAAUCGAGAACACUCGAUUAAAGUCCAUUUUUACCCCAAAGAGGCUCGAAUCUAAGUUCGAAAUUGAGGUCGUCCAAUUUCUGGGCAUUUUGAGGUACACUACUUCGAAUCAUCUCGAUGUAUGUUCAUUGAAGUUAAAGUGAAAUGGCCAAGGGAUCUGUUGAUUCCACUAAUAAGAACCUGUAUUUAGUUAAUUUUUGUUAUGUGUUUUUCUGUUAUAGGAAUGCUGUAUGUAUGCAUAACUAGGACUGUUCUUUUAUAAGAUCACUGAUUAGCAAUAAUAAUGAUGUGAAAUGUUAGAUUAUGGAACUAAGAUUCUUGAAAUGGUGUAAACAUUAGUCAAUACAGUAUGUAUGUCUAAUUUGAGCAAUUUCUAGAUUGUUGAACUAUUGGAUGCAUGUCUGUAGGAAUCUCACAGUUAUUAGUUUCAUGCUUUGCUAGUUUGUAUAAUAUAGUUCGAAAUCACAUUCAAUUCAAAUUGAUAAAUAGUUAAUGUGGAAAAUCGAUUUAAUUUAGUUGAUUGGUAAAAUCUAGCUUUGAACUCACGAAAACUGGAAUAGAAGUAAUUUGAGGUUUGUGAUUUUCGAGUCUUUUAGUAACAAAGAUCCGUAAGUAUUAGGCAAACAUAAGGGCCAUUAAUUUUGUAGAAUCAGCAGGUUUAACAUAUUUGAAGUGCGAAUCAAUAUAGUAAGGCUAAGAACAUUAAUCCAAUAGGCAUGAGUCGAGCAAGACGA